GACGAACGCUGGCGGCGUGCUUAACACAUGCAAGUCGAACGGUGAAGGGGCCUGCUUUUGUGGGCCCUGGAUGAGUGGCGAACGGGUGAGUAACACGUGAGUAACCUGCCCCCUUCUUCUGGAUAACCGCAUGAAAGUGUGGCUAAUACGGGAUAUUCUGGGUCUGUCGCAUGAUGGGUCUGGGAAAGAUUGCGCCUUUGGAUGUUUUUGGUGGGGGAUGGGCUCGUGGCCUAUCAGCUUGUUGGUGGGGUGAUGGCCUACCAAGGCGGGGACGGGUAGCCGGCCUGAGAGGGUGGACGGUCACACUGGGACUGAGACACGGCCCAGACUCCUACGGGAGGCAGCAGUGGGGAAUAUUGCACAAUGGGCGCAAGCCUGAUGCAGCGACGCCGCGUGAGGGAUGGAGGCCUUCGGGUUGUAAACCUCUUUCGCCAGUGAAGCAGGCCUGCUCCUUGUGGGUGGGUUGACGGUAGCUGGAUAAGAAGCGCCGGCUAACUACGUG
rnacentral:rRNA from 1 species